rnacentral:rRNA from 1 species
GAUGAACGCUGGCGGCGUGCCUAAUACAUGCAAGUCGAGCGAACAGACGAGGAGCUUGCUCCUCUGACGUUAGCGGCGGACGGGUGAGUAACACGUGGAUAACCUACCUAUAAGACUGGGAUAACUUCGGGAAACCGGAGCUAAUACCGGAUAAUAUAUUGAACCGCAUGGUUCAAUAGUGAAAGACGGUUUUGCUGUCACUUAUAGAUGGAUCCGCGCCGCAUUAGCUAGUUGGUAAGGGAACGGCUUACCAAGGCAACGAUGCGUAGCCGACCUGAGAGGGUGACCGGCCACAUUGGGACGGAGAUACGGGCAAGACUCCUGCGGGAGGCAGCAGGGGGGAAGAUUGCACAAUGUGCGGAAGCCGGAAGCAGCAACGCCGCGGGCGGGAUGACGGCCGUCGGGUGGUAAACCGCUUUCGCCUGGGACGAAGCGUGAGUGACGGUAAUGGGUAAAGAAGCACCGGCUAACUACGUG